rnacentral:sRNA from 1 species
ACUUGAUAUUCAAAAAUUAUUGAUUUGCUCUUGUGAAUUUUAUAUUAGCCUAGAGAAACUUUGAAAACCUUUCUAUAAAUUGUAUGUCGAAAAAAGUUUUACAAACAUUUAUUAGCCAUUUCGAUAAAGACUAUUGUGAGCAAAAGUUUUUUUUAUUAGAAAAUAAAUAAUAUGUUUAAUAUAAAAUGUGAGUUAGGCUUCUUAUAUUUUAAAAAUUAUAUAAAUUUAUACUGAAAAUAGGUAGAAUUUUCAAAUUUUAAAUUUAUUUGGCUUAAGUACAUAAAUAUGUCAAUUUGAAACUUAUACCCACUAAAUAUUCCAUGUUAGAUAUCGAAAUAAAAGAAAAUUAACUAUUGGUUUCUUAUAUGAAUAAUUCACUCUAAUGCCCUUUUCUCAAUGCCCUUUUGCAACUCUACCCUUUUUUUCCCAUUUUCAUUUCUACCCUUUCUAAUACUUUUCUCCCCAAAUUACCCUUAAUGAGCUACCCACAGACCUAAUUCAUUUCUUCACUCUCUCUCUUCUUCCUCCAUCGCAAAUUGUGAAUGCCGUUGAAUCCCAUGCCGUCGGAAAUAGUGAGUUUACUCGCCGUGAAAACUCAUCUUCGCCGUCGUAAGUAGAGCUGUGUGUCGCCGUCGAAUCUCUUGCGUUUCCCAGGUUUGAUUUUAUAAUGUUAGCUUAAAUUUUCGUUUUCGAAUUGGUUUAUUCGAUUUUUGUUAUUGAUUAUGUGAAUUCGUUAUUUGAAUCCUGAUUCAAUCGACAGUUUGACAUUUGCUUCAGCUUCGAAUUUGAAUUUUGUUUGAGAUUUGAUGAUUGAAUUUGUUUCUAAAU